AGAGUUUGAUCCUGGCUCAGGACGAACGCUGGCGGCGUGCCUAAUACAUGCAAGUCGAGCGCGUGUAGCAAUACACGAGCGGCGGACGGGUGAGUAACGCGUGGGCAACCUGCCCUCUAGCCUGGGAUAACAGCGCGAAAGUGCUGCUAACACCGGAUAUGCUCACAGGGAGACAUCUCCCAGUGAGGAAAGUUUACACUAGAGGAUGGGCCCGCGUCCCAUUAGCUAGUUGGUGAGGUAACGGCCCACCAAGGCGACGAUGGGUAGCCGACCUGAGAGGGUGAUCGGCCACACUGGGACUGAGACACGGCCCAGACUCCUACGGGAGGCAGCAGUAGGGAAUUUUCCGCAAUGGGCGAAAGCCUGACGGAGCAACGCCGCGUGAGGGAUGAAGGUUUUCGGAUCGUAAACCUCUGUCUUCAGGGACGAUAAUGACGGUACCUGAGGAGGAAGCCACGGCUAACUACGUGCCAGCAGCCGCGGUAAU
rnacentral:rRNA from 1 species